UACGGAGGGUGCAAGCGUUGUCCGGAAUCACUGGGCGUAAAGGGCGCGUAGGCGGCUCAUACAGUCAGGCGUGAAAUUCCUGGGCUCAACCUGGGGACUGCGCUUGAGACGUGUGGGCUUGAGUGGGGAAGAGGGUCGUGGAAUUCCCAGUGUAGAGGUGAAAUUCGUAGAUAUUGGGAAGAACACUGGUGGCGAAGGCGGCGACCUGGUCCUUGACUGACGCUGAGGCGCGAAAGCGUGGGGAGCAAACAGG
rnacentral:rRNA from 1 species